rnacentral:rRNA from 1 species
AUACGUAGGGGGCAAGCGUUAUCCGGAUUUACUGGGUGUAAAGGGAGCGUAGACGGUUUGGCAAGUCUGAUGUGAAAGCCCGGGGCUCAACCGCGGGACUGCAUUGGAAACUGUCAGACUUGAGUGCAGGAGAGGUAAGUGGAAUUCCUAGUGUAGCGGUGAAAUGCGUAGAUAUUAGGAGGAACACCGGUGGCGAAGGCGGCUUACUGGACUGUAACUGACGCUGAGGCUCGAAAGCGUGGGGAGCAAACAGGAUUAGAUACCCUGGUAGUCCACGCCGUAAGCGAUGAAUACUAGGUGUUGGGAGACAAUAGUUUCUCGGUGCCGCAGCAAACGCAAUAAGUAUUCCACCUGGGGAGUACGUUCGCAAGAAUGAAACUCAAAUGAAUUGACGGGG